CGAGAUGAACGAAAUCAACAAAGGCAACUAGAAUGGAGAGUAACGCGCAGAUACAUAGUCGAAAGACGUAGAGGAAUUGACCAACAACGCCAACAAUUUCAUCGAGCAUUUACAUCAAAUUUAUUUCUUUGACUAGCAUUCCAGUAUGAGCCUGAUGUUAUUUAUGCUCAUUCUAAAGUGGUUAUUGGUACUUUGGAAAAGAAAUGCCCGCAUUGUCAUGCACUCUAAUUUAAAAAUGAGCCAGUUGGGAUGUGGUGCUCAUCAGGAAAAGUACUAAUAACCGAAAUUGAAACACCACCUGAACCAUUGCACGGUUUACUUAUCGGUACCGAUCCUGAUUCUAGCAUGUUGUUGAAGUCAACUCGCACAUUCAAUUCAUGUUUACAAAUGAGCAACAAAAAUAGUUAACAAUAUUGCUGCAAACGGUCAACAAUUUCCACGUUCAAAAUCAAAGGUCAAGUUUAUCACAAAGUGGGCUCAUUGCUGCCAAUGCCAAACGAAUCACAUACAUUUUUACAAAUAUACUUUAUGGGUGGCGAGGACUCCGAACGUGCACUCCCCAAUCGCGUGGAUGCACGUUGCGACUAUCAUAAUUGCAAUUCACAUUUUACCAGGCGUAUCGUCAGCGAGCUGGACGCUCUGUUAAAUGAGCACAAUGAAUUAUUGAAAUUAUUCAAAUCACACAUGCACAAACUACAAAGUGACAAUCACGCUUGUCAUCAAUCCUGAUAGAACACCAGCUGGAGAGCAUAUACGUAGAUUCAAUGCACCUGUUGUUGACGACGUUGCUGGAAUCAUGGUUGGCGACCGUACAGCUACGCGACAAAUCGUGAUUCGAAGAAGAAAUAAUGAUCUUCAGUUUAUUAGUGAUACCCCUCGUUCAUAUGACUCUCUCCAAUAUCAACUAAUAUUCUGGAAGGGACAAGACGGAUAUUGUGUAAACAUUAAACAACGAGAUCCCGUAACAGGAGCCGAAACAAAUAGGAACGUUAGUUCGAAGUUUGAUGAUUAAACGCGGCCGAGACAACAUCAUUUUACGAUAUCGUGAGCAUUGCCAACAACUACGAUUCUUGCGAUAUAAUCAACAGAAGCUGCGUGCGGAAGAAUAUAUUCACUUGCGAGAUGCCAUUGCGAACAACGCUGAUACUGACCAACUACCAAAUUGGACGGUAUAUCAGUUCCAAUGUAGCUGUCUAGCGUUUUUUCGGUUUCCCAAUUCAUGAACGGGAUCCAGCAGUUAUACAUUUAGCUGUCCAUCUUGAAAACGGCCAGCGCGUAUAUUUCACGGACGGUACAGCGCUUGAUCGUGCUAUAAUUCCACCAAAAACUACGGUCACCGAAUUUUUUGAAUUGUGCAAUCUCUUGCGGAUGCUUUUGGUGCCUUCGCACAAACACUGCUCUAUUCUGAAGUUCCACGAUAUUUUACAUGGGCUCAAUCGAAAAAAUGGAUGCCUCUCAAGCAAGGGACACCAGUUGAUGCGUGCCCCGGUUUAUACAAAUCAAAUAGUUUGGGUCAUGAUGCAAGUUAGUCCCUCAACGCCUACAAGCUACGAUGCGCACGCUUAUUAAUGGCACCAAAUUCAGAGGCAGAAAAUUAUGACCAAUUUAAAACCAACCUUCUGAAAACAUUUGAUAAGGCAUGUUCAACAACCGAAUUAGUGAUGGAACUUCAGAAAACUUUCUACAUUCCGGCAAAACAUCCGUUAUGGGGAACAUUAUGCUGACGCAAGAGUUGGCUGUGCGUGCAAGUGCAUGUGAGAUUGAAGCAGUCCACUUUAUCAUCGAUAGUUUCCUUAACACGUCGCCAGCCUUGUUGUAUGGAGCGAAAACUAUCAACGAGCUUAAGGAAUUAUUGAAUCGAUAUGCGGACUUCCGAGAAAAAAAAAAACCAAAAUGGAACUCAUCGCCUAGCUCUUCAGCUUCAACACAAUCUUUAUUAACAUCUUAUGGUGAGAUGCUAUGCUUAAAUUUUUCGUUGUUUGGACACUACACUUCAGAUUGCGAGGCACCCAAACGAGCGAAGGGGUUCUGCUUCCGUUGCGGCUCUCUUAGCCACACUAUAAAGACGUGUCUGGAGGUACCGCAAAAGUACACCAAAUCAGCAAUGGAACCAAAAACUCCCAGAGAUGAAGACAGCGACGAAUUCCCCUUUUUCCGAUAUUUUACCAGACCCUGCUUGAAGAACUAUAAGUUAAAAUUAUCAUUUAUGAGCAUCAUAAACCUGAGACAAAUAAAAUUUAAAUUUUAAGUUUCAAAUGAAGUGAUAAAAAAGCAUUUUGCCUAGCAUGAAUGUUUCCUGCGCUAUAGCCUUAGAUCAACUAAGUCCCACCCAUCUGGUUGAUACUGCUAAUGGUUAUAUUAGCUUUAAAACCUUUAAAAAAUCCAAAACAUCAAUUGAUAAUUCGGAAACAUUAGGCCAUAUAUUAGACAAAUUAGGGAAUGAGACAACAUCAGGUAGCAAUAUUGAUUACAAACUUAGUGAAAACCUUGCGUAGUGAAAUCCGAACAUUAAUUGAAUUAAAUUACUUAGAUUUGCCCAACA